AGUUUAUAUAUAGACAGGAAACAUUAUAUAUAUUUACACAUAAUAUCUAUAUAUAUACCAAAAAGUGAAAAGGAAACGCGUAAUUAACUCAUUAAGUAAAUAAUUAAAGUCAAUGGUAGACACGAACCUUUAACGCGUUUCUUGCAUAGAAUAACACUAUCAAGUGAAAAUAAUUCCAAAAGUGGUAAAACGUUCUGUACAAAAUAUACUUGUUAAUGGCGAAAGUUAAUCACGUGCAUUGGGUGUGCCUGCCUUAUAAUGAGAGCUGGAAUCUUAUUGGAUAGGAAAUGUAUAAAAGUGAAGAUAACUUCAGUAACGACUGUUGAAUAGAUAGAAUCUUCAAGUGUUCAGAUACACGAGAAUUAUAAUGGCAAGAUUUGAAAGUUACGUCUGUAAACUUGUGUUUAUAAUGACAAUAUCUACAUCAUCAUCGAUGUCAUUGUCACAAGAUAGAAUGAAGUCAGUUGAUUCUUUAAAUAGAAUAUUUUCAAAAAGGUCUGCAGCAGAAUUAGUUAACGCUGUUUUGUUGGCACCAAAUGAUUGUCUGCCAGUUGAUGACUUUCACAUUGGUCUAGAAAAUCUGAUACAGAUGGAACUGUCUAGAAUGCAGAGCUGUAUAAGUCACCAAGAAUCACAAAGAAACGUCAACAAUUGAAUAAUGAUUGCUGGCUUUGGAUGUAAAGCAGGGAAGAUGGAAUAUGGUCAUAUCGUCACAAACGUGUUUUGUUCCUAUUUAAAAAAAAUUGACAGCUUAAAAUGGGACUUUAAAAAAUGGAAAAAAUGUUUUGUACAGAACGGAAUAUAUUUAAUUACUGUUAAAAAUCGUGAACUAAUCAAAUAGUGUUGUUAAUUAGCUAUAUGGAAAUGUCUUCAGAAUGUUACUAUCUAUAAAUUCUUAUCAAACCACUCUUUAAUCUAUCCAUUCCUUUUAAUAUAAGUUCUGGUUAGUUUCAUAAAAAAUAUUCACCCACUUCUCAAUAUUGUUCCAAACUAAAGUAUACAAAUACAAUUCAAAUCAGGCAAUACAGUUUUCCCAGUUAUUAUAUUACAUCCCCCAAAGCAAUAAAAAUACCCACAGAUAUUUCUCUAAAAGAACUGAUUGGCAAACUAGAAUUAGUCUUGUAUUUUAAUUCUCAAGGAGUCGCGUACCAACUUUGAAUCAAACGAAGAAAAAGGGAAAUCUAUGAAAAAUAUGCAAUUAUUGUUUGCAAAAUUGUUCUUGUUAAUUUCAUGAUUAAUACGAUAAACAGAACCAUUUUUAUGUAACUUUAGAAUACAAGCUUGUACUAAAACACGAAGUUAUCAUUAUA